rnacentral:rRNA from 1 species
UGCCUUCGGGAACUCUGAGACAGGUGCUGCAUGGCUGUCGUCAGCUCGUGUUGUGAAAUGUUGGGUUAAGUCCCGCAACGAGCGCAACCCUUAUCCUUUGUUGCCAGCGGUUAGGCCGGGAACUCAAAGGAGACUGCCAGUGAUAAACUGGAGGAAGGUGGGGAUGACGUCAAGUCAUCAUGGCCCUUACGAGUAGGGCUACACACGUGCUACAAUGGCGCAUACAAAGAGAAGCGACCUCGCGAGAGCAAGCGGACCUCAUAAAGUGCGUCGUAGUCCGGAUUGGAGUCUGCAACUCGACUCCAUGAAGUCGGAAUCGCUAGUAAUCGUGGAUCAGAAUGCCACGGUGAAUACGUUCCCGGGCCUUGUACACACCGCCCGUCACACCAUGGGAGUGGGUUGCAAAAGAAGUAGGUAGCUUAACCUUCGGGAGGGCGCUUACCACUUUGUGAUUCAUGACUGGGGUGAAGUCGUAACAAGGUAACCGUAGGGGAACCUGCGGUUGGAUCACCUCCUUA